UGGGGAAUAUUGGACAAUGGGCGAAAGCCUGAUCCAGCCAUGCCGCGUGUGUGAAGAAGGUCUUCGGAUUGUAAAGCACUUUAAGUUGGGAGGAAGGGCAGUAAGUUAAUACCUUGCUGUUUUGACGUUACCAACAGAAUAAGCACCGGCUAACUUCGUGCCAGCAGCCGCGGUAAUACGAAGGGUGCAAGCGUUAAUCGGAAUUACUGGGCGUAAAGCGCGCGUAGGUGGUUCAGCAAGUUGGAUGUGAAAUCCCCGGGCUCAACCUGGGAACUGCAUCCAAAACUACUGAGCUAGAGUACGGUAGAGGGUGGUGGAAUUUCCUGUGUAGCGGUGAAAUGCGUAGAUAUAGGAAGGAACACCAGUGGCGAAGGCGACCACCUGGACUGAUACUGACACUGAGGUGCGAAAGCGUGGGGAGCAAACAG
rnacentral:rRNA from 1 species